rnacentral:rRNA from 1 species
UACGGAGGGAGCUAGCGUUGUUCGGAAUUACUGGGCGUAAAGCGCACGUAGGCGGCUUUGUAAGUUAGAGGUGAAAGCCCGGAGCUCAACUCCGGAAUUGCCUUUAAGACUGCAUCGCUUGAAUCCGGGAGAGGUGAGCGGAAUUCCGAGUGUAGAGGUGAAAUUCGUAGAUAUUCGGAAGAACACCAGUGGCGAAGGCGGCUCACUGGACCGGUAUUGACGCUGAGGUGCGAAAGCGUGGGGAGCAAACAGG